ACUUGAGGAAGAAGCUGAAACUCAUAGCUAUUAAACCAUGCUAUGUUAAUGUGUACGAUCCUGGCACCAAAUAAGCAGCAGGACUUCGCUUCAGUUCAUCUCCUCUCGGCAUGGGAAAAGGGGAAGAACACUCAUCUCCCCUUACACCAUCUAUUUUAAAUCCCCCAACCGCGGACAUACCAUCAAGUAAUCGACACUUUGUAAAUUACACCAGUGCCGGUUACUACGGACCACUUCCUACGUGGCCACUGCCUUUUUCGCCAUAUCCAGAUAGCAACCAAUAUCCAAGAAACA